rnacentral:rRNA from 1 species
UACGUAGGGUGCGAGCGUUAAUCGGAAUUACUGGGCGUAAAGCGUGCGCAGGCGGUUUUGUAAGACAGGCGUGAAAUCCCCGGGCUUAACCUGGGAAUGGCGCUUGUGACUGCAGUGCUGGAGUGCGGCAGAGGGGGAUGGAAUUCCGCGUGUAGCAGUGAAAUGCGUAGAUAUGCGGAGGAACACCGAUGGCGAAGGCAAUCCCCUGGGCCUGCACUGACGCUCAUGCACGAAAGCGUGGGGAGCAAACAGG